ensembl:lncRNA
AGUGGAACACAGCCAAUCACAAACUUCAAUGGAACAUAGCCAAUCACAGGUUGAUUUCAUUAAGACAAAUUCUAUGGGCACCCAGUGGACUAUGACGGAGUCAGAAUCUGGUUUUAUUUCAAACACAGCAGCUCUUUAUGAGAAGGGACAAUUAAAACAGGACUGUGUGGACGUAUGCAUAAAUUGUGAAGUCAGUCAAUCCUUCAAAACAUCUGGAAGGCUUUCAUCAAAGGAUACUGACAAAGAACUCGAUUUGAACUUCGAAAAGAAUAACAGUCUAAAUUUUAAAAAGCAGAACUUAAAUGACACCCCACCUGUUGUUUCCGAAUGCGAGUCUUUUUCAGCCGAGAGAGCUUUCUCAAAUAUGCCUAAUGCAACUUCUGCUGGAGUGUCAGAUUCACUGAAUCAACAUGUGAUCAAUGACCAGACCUCAGAACAGUCAGAUCUGCAGGCUAGACCUCAUUACGAUCAACAAAAUUUCCCAGUUUUACAAAUGCACACUGAAAAAACGGAUUCCUCAGUUAGUAGUUAUCACAUGGACAGUCAUUGCUUAGAGGACAUUGUUUCAGGGGAACAUGAGCCUGAGGCAGAUAUUUAUGAAACCCAUCAGUGCCCUAAUAGCAGAAUUAACUAUAACACACAGGGUGAAUUCACUGAAGCACAAGUGUAUGUUAACACUGAAACUUUUGAUACCAAUGAUGGUGACGUUUUAGAAGGAACGCUGAAGAAUAGCAAAACACAUCACAUUAUUAAAGGGUACCAGAAAGAAUUUACAAUAGUUCCCUCGGUAGAACAGUCAGUAAUUUACUCUGAUAGUUCGGGAUGCAUAGAAUACACUAAGCCUAAGUCAUUAAGUGUCGCGUGUCCUGACAUGAAGACAGCUGAAUCCGAUGGAUGUCCUGUAGACAGUCCUGUCGAAUCUCUGGCUAGUCUGUUCGAGAUUUCGUAUGACAAAACUCAAGUCAGCCCCACAGAUGUUUGCUUUGAGCUCAGUGAUGGCCUUCAUAUGAACUGUAAACAAGUGGCACAUUGCGUUAUAGAAUAUACAGAGACCUCCAAACAAUUUCAUCGACCCGACACCCUGUCUGACAAACAAGCAAGACAAAACGAGUCGGUUGAAACAAUUGAGCCGGAUGUUGAUACUUUGUCUAGUGCAUGUACUGAUCCUUUCACAAAUGCACAAUCCCCUUUUGAUUAUUCCCAGCUGAACAGUAGAAAAGAUGAAUACAGCUCAGACACAAAUAAUAAUAUUAAAG